UACGUAGGGGGCAAGCGUUAUCCGGAUUUACUGGGUGUAAGGGAGCGUAGACGGCAGGGCAAGUCCGAUGUGAAAACCCGGGGCUCAACCGCGGGAUUGCAUUGGAAACUGCUCGGCUCGAGUACUGGAGGGGUAAGCGGAAUUCCUAGUGUAGCGGUGAAAUGCGUAGAUAUUAGGAGGAACACCGGCGGCGAAAGCGGCUUACUGGACAGUAACUGACGUUGAGGCUCGAAAGCGUGGGGAGCAAACA
rnacentral:rRNA from 1 species